rnacentral:rRNA from 1 species
UACGUAGGCAGCGAGCGUUGUUCGGAAUUACUGGGCGUAAAGAGUGUGUAGGCGGCAACGCAAGUCGGGCGUGAAAUCCCACGGCUCAACCGUGGAAGUGCACUCGAAACUGCGUAGCUAGAGUCCUGGAGAGGAAGGUGGAAUGCUUGGUGUAGAGGUGAAAUUCGUAGAUAUCAAGCGGAACACCGGUGGCGAAGGCGGCCUUCUGGACAGUGACUGACGCUGAGAUGCGAAAGCGUGGGGAGCAAACAGG